rnacentral:sRNA from 1 species
GUUGAGCGUGGUGGCGCAUGCCUGUAAUCCCAGAGGCUUGGGAGACUGAGGCAGGAGGAUCACAAGUUCAAAGCCAGCCUCAGCAAAAGCAAGGCGCUAAGCAACUCAAUGAGACCCUGUCUCUA